CUGCUCUGCUGGGGUUUUGUGAGUGAGCCCAGGAUAGGGCUGCAGACUUCAUGAAGCUAUGAUAUCUCUGAACACACAGCUACACUCCUUAAUCUCCAAAUGAAACACCACCUAAGUACCUGGUUAAAAGGGCAGCAGCCAAGGUCUGGGCUGGAAGAGGGAGCAGGUCACACAGCAGAAGUUCCGGGACCCACUAUAAGACAGACUAUGAUGGUCCACGGAUAUCCAAAACUUAAUGAUCUGCUGAGCAUGGAUGAUAACUGGGCUGACAUUACUUCUAAACCAAAGGUUAGACCAAUAUCAGAGGAUAGGCCCCGUGGUUUCCUGUAACUGGCUACUGACAUGGGCUGGAGGACCAGAUCAUUAUCUCCUAUGGGAUGCACCCACCAAGGCAAACUUUAGAGUGGGUGCCCUUCACCCAUUACCCAAAAUGCUAUCUCCAAGCUUCUUAUUAGCCGUGAUCCCCAGGGGGAACCUCAAGGGGCAAUGUGUGGAAGCAGGCUCACUCACCACAUAAACAGAAUACAAUUUUCUUUUAUGUUAGCCUGCAGAUUGCAAGCCACCUCUAUAAAGAGCUCUCUGUCUCCUCACUUUGGCAGGAUUCCUUGUCUCUCUGCACCAAAGCUGUAUUCAUAUCAGUGUGUGGUCACUGUAAGAACAGUGCCUGCCUUUUUAGAAUAGACAAAGGGAGUUAGCAUACCAGAUGCUGGCGCCCUGCUCAGGCUGUGCAGUGCUCUGCCCCACCAGCAGCCCCAGGGAAUACCCAACCUAAGCACACAUGAGCAUGGCAACAGGGUCUAGUGGCCAGUCUUUGAAUUCAUGAAUUCUCUCUACAGCUCAUGUUCUUUCAAACGAACGAAUGCAGCAAUUAAUACACAAUGAUCAAAUCGUUAUAACAGUGAUGGUGACGAGUGAGAAGAAUGCUGAUCUUGGAAAACAGCAGGCUACAGGGAAAUUUGCAGUUCAGUAUUAACUCCAGAGUCUGAACUCUGUAACUUAUGCCCACCAUGUAUUCUUUCCAUUUACCUUUAAGGACUAGCCCCUGGGUGACAAGCAUGAUCCCAAGAGACAAAGGAAGAGCUGUAAGAACAAAAAGAACAGAUGUACAGUAUUAGACAGAAUUUGUUACUCGCUUGUUAACUUUCAUAUGUUAAACACUUGUUUUAUAUGAUUAUAAUGCUGAAUAUAUUACUCAUCUUUUAAAAACUAAUUUAGUGUGCUGUUUAAAUUACCUGCUACACCUGCUUGUUCAGAUUACUAUCUCUUUGAGGUGAGGAUGUGUUCAUGCUCUGCCAGACAGAUUCUGUGGCACCUGGAACAAAUGCAUUAUAUUCAAUUUUCUCCUUUCAGAAAAUAUAUAAUUUAGAGACAACCUGACACUGGACUAAAAAGGCACUGAACCCUUGAGUAUCUAACCUUUAAGAUGUUCUAAAAUCUAAAGAAUUACACAAUCUCAAGCUAUACAGCCACGCCUCCCUUUCAUUCAAUUGCACAGGAAUGUGAUAAAGAACUCCUAAUGUUGUUUUAAUAAUUGGCUUCAUGAAUACUGCCAACUCUAUUAUUAUUCAAGCUCACAUUAAGCAAGAGUUUAAUUCUACCACCUUUACCUGUAAUGAUUAUGCUAUAAGAUAAUCCAAUCCAAUCCAAUAAUCUUACAUACUACUCAGCUCAAACUAGGGUGACAGUCAACUCAGUAACAUUUUGACAAGAAAUGAUGCAUUGCAAUAAAUGGCAUGGCAUUUUGCAGCCAAUUUUCACAAUGACAUCAGGAAAUCACUCUUGGUGCGUUAAGAAAAAGUUUGGAUCACUCAUCUCUGCACCAGAAACUUUCUUUUUUACAUUCUCCAUAGACCCUUGCAAUUUCUCCAGCAUUGUGAGCUUGUGAAAUGGGACAACAGAGCAUUGGCUGAAAGUAUAAACCUGAGUUGGGUUUUUGAAUUUAACCUCACAGGAGGAAAUAAGUAAAUCAACUAAAGUAGACAAAUAAUACAGCAUCCAAACAAACAGAACUCCUCAUUUUGUCAUUAGCAGUGUGAUUUAAUACUUUAAUACCCAAUGCAAAACCGGAAAGAACUACCCAGGCUGAAAUUGCACAUCCUGUUGAUCUAUACUUUCCAAACCCAGCACAGAUGCCCUGUGCACUUACCCCUGAAGUGCAUUGCUUUAUUUCUGUCAGCCUUUUAAUUCUCACGAGCCACUGCACCUUU